CGGUGUGGACGAGUCGAGGUGGAGAAGACGGGCGCACAGUCCCUGAGUUAAGCCUCAGCCCCCCCACACACACACAAACAAAGAGGCGUUAGGCUGAGACGCUGAAAGUCCGGAUUUAAAGUGCGAAAAUUAAGCCAUUGAAUCUGCCUGUCCAUGACGUAGUAAGACACACUAUGAGCCAGUUUGAUCCAACAAGACCUUGCAUCAGCAUUGAGGAGUUCAGGAGUUGUCGGAGAAGAAAGAGGCUGAUUGAAGCGGGACAGAUGACAUGGAUCCAUCCUUCCACAGCCAGGAGCGCACCGACCUGUGUGUCACACUUCAUAUAAGACUGGAAGCUUCACUGGAUCUCACAGCUACACACCACAGACGUCUACACAUUGGAGAAGAUUCAGACAGAGUCCCACAAAGAAGUCAUGACCCAGAGGCUGCAGAGAAACAUUUCAAGCCUCACCUGAGUUUUUGUACAAUAUUUGUGCUGUAUGUAAAUAAAGCUU